UGGGGAAUAUUGGACAAUGGGCGCAAGCCUGAUCCAGCCAUGCCGCGUGAGUGAAGAAGGCCCUAGGGUUGUAAAGCUCUUUCACCGGUGAAGAUAAUGACGGUAACCGGAGAAGAAGCCCCGGCUAACUUCGUGCCAGCAGCCGCGGUAAUACGAAGGGGGCUAGCGUUGUUCGGAUUUACUGGGCGUAAAGCGCACGUAGGCGGACUAUUAAGUCAGGGGUGAAAUCCCGGGGCUCAACCCCGGAACUGCCUUUGAUACUGGUAGUCUUGAGUUCGAGAGAGGUGAGUGGAAUUCCGAGUGUAGAGGUGAAAUUCGUAGAUAUUCGGAGGAACACCAGUGGCGAAGGCGGCUCACUGGCUCGAUACUGACGCUGAGGUGCGAAAGCGUGGGGAGCAAACAGG
rnacentral:rRNA from 1 species